UAGGGAAUCUUCCGCAAUGGACGCAAGUCUGACGGAGCAACGCCGCGUGAGUGAAGAAGGAUUUCGGUUCGUAAAACUCUGUUGUUAGAGAAGAACAGCGCAUAGAGUAACUGUUAUGCGUGUGACGGUAUCUAACCAGAAAGCCACGGCUAACUACGUGCCAGCAGCCGCGGUAAUACGUAGGUGGCAAGCGUUGUCCGGAUUUAUUGGGCGUAAAGCGAGCGCAGGCGGUCAAUUAAGUCUGAUGUGAAAGCCCCCGGCUCAACCGGGGAGGGUCAUUGGAAACUGGUUGACUUGAGUGCAGAAGAGGAGAGUGGAAUUCCAUGUGUAGCGGUGAAAUGCGUAGAUAUAUGGGGGAACACCAGGGGCGAAGGCGACUCUCUGGUCUGUAACUGACGCUGAGGCUCGAAAGCGUGGGUAGCAAACAGG
rnacentral:rRNA from 1 species